rnacentral:piRNA from 1 species
UGUGGCCAAGAGACAGCAGCUGAUGCUGA